GACAUUAGGUCAUAUGAAUAAACCGGAGUACUUGCUCAUGCUCAGCCAGAUUUUAGCAAAGUAAAGUCUUUGAGCAUUUACUUAAAACCAUAUGAAUAAAACGAUACUUUGCUCAGAGUAAGUUCGAAUUUCGAACUGAGCAUUUACUCUGUCAAAAGUGUUGUUUUUGUUUUGGUUACCUGUUUGUAAUGGAACAGAAAAAAGCCAGCGGUGCAAACAGGCUUUGCGGAUCUCAUCCGUCUUUUGCCGUACAAAAUUAGUUUGACCAGUGCCAUUUGUUGUCCGCUGAUGAAGGAGCCACACAUCCCGAUGAAAAUCGACUGCCAGCAUCACGUCCACCGGGUAUGCCGGUAACUGGUCCGUCUUCAAAGCUAUCACCGGCAUGUAGUUGCCUACCGAGCCAGCAGGUGACCGUGUCCUCCAGAGUCGUGAGCGCGGGUGAUUACCCUUAUCAGACCAUCAGUACCAGCAGAACCAGAACCGGGAAGAACCUCUGCAUUAGCUACAAAAAGAAGUUUGGUUCCGUUCGGCACCGAUCAAACCCGUUUCCCCUGCUUCCAUGGCCGAAAUAGUGUUUUCAAUCACGUUCGAAACAAAAUCCACCGUACAUUGCAGUUACCCUACACACUGGGAAAGGAAACCGGCAAAAUCUCUCACAACCAUGACUAGGUUCACUAUGCCACAAGCGAUCGGAUUGGUAACCAAUUGAGGAGGAACCAUGGAACAAAGCAUUGGCAGCGUAUUAAUGCCGUCAUUGACGGUGCAACGGAAGACUGUCGGCAUUCCAAGACUAUCGAGAUCCUCAUCGGGCUGCAUUGGCAUAAGAACCCCCACCCCCUAGAGAAUUCCGAAAAUAAAAAAAUAUAUAAAAAGUUACAUGGUA